rnacentral:rRNA from 1 species
UGGGGAAUAUUGCGCAAUGGGCGAAAGCCUGACGCAGCGACGCCGCGUGUGGGAUGACGGCCUUCGGGUUGUAAACCACUGUCGGGAGGGACGAAUGCCCCGCAAGGGGGGUGACGGUACCUCCAAAGGAAGCACCGGCUAACUCCGUGCCAGCAGCCGCGGUAAUACGGAGGGUGCGAGCGUUGUCCGGAAUCACUGGGCGUAAAGGGCGCGUAGGCGGCCUGAUAAGUAGGGGGUGAAAUCCUGCGGCUUAACCGCAGGGCUGCCUUCUAAACUGUCAGGCUCGAGCACAGUAGAGGCAGGUGGAAUUCCCGGUGUAGCGGUGGAAUGCGUAGAGAUCGGGAAGAACAUCAGUGGCGAAGGCGGCCUGCUGGGCUGUUGCUGACGCUGAGGCGCGACAGCGUGGGGAGCAA